GACGAACGCUGGCGGCGUGCUUAACACAUGCAAGUCGAACGGUGAAGCGCCUUCCUUUUUGGUGGGUGUGGAUGAGUGGCGAACGGGUGAGUAACACGUGAGUAACCUGCCCCCUUCUUCUGGAUAACCGCAUGAAAGUGUGGCUAAUACGGGAUAUUCUGGGUCUGUCGCAUGAUGGGUCUGGGAAAGAUAUUGUUUCGGUUGGGGAUGGGCUCGCGGCCUAUCAGCUUGUUGGUGGGGUGAUGGCCUACCAAGGCGGUGACGGGUAGCCGGCCUGAGAGGGUGGACGGUCACACUGGGACUGAGACACGGCCCAGACUCCUACGGGAGGCAGCAGUGGGGAAUAUUGCACAAUGGGCGCAAGCCUGAUGCAGCGACGCCGCGUGAGGGAUGGAGGCCUUCGGGUUGUGAACCUCUUUCGACAGUGAAGCAGGCCUGCCUCGUUUGUGGGUGGGUUGACGGUAGCUGGAUAAGAAGCGCCGGCUAACUACGUG
rnacentral:rRNA from 1 species